rnacentral:rRNA from 1 species
AGAGUUUGAUCCUGGCUCAGGACGAACGCUGGCGGCGUGCCUAAUACAUGCAAGUCGAACGAGAGCGACCGGUGCUUGCACUGGUCAAUCUAGUGGCGAACGGGUGAGUAACACGUGGGUAACCUGCCCAUCAGAGGGGGAUAACAUUCGGAAACGGAUGCUAAAACCGCAUAGGUUCUACAGUCGCAUGACUGAAGAAGGAAAAGAGGCUUCGGCUUCUGUUGAUGGAUGGACCCGCGGUGCAUUAGCUAGUUGGUGAGGUAACGGCUCACCAAGGCCGUGAUGCAUAGCCGACCUGAGAGGGUGAUCGGCCACAUUGGGACUGAGACACGGCCCAAACUCCUACGGGAGGCAGCAGAAGGG